AACGAACGCUGGCGGCAUGCCUAACACAUGCAAGUCGAACGAGACCUUCGGGUCUAGUGGCGCACGGGUGCGUAACGCGUGGGAACCUGCCCUUAGGUUCGGAAUAACUCCCCGAAAGGGGUGCUAAUACCGGAUAAUGUCUUCGGACCAAAGAUUUAUCGCCUUUGGAUGUGCCCGCGUUGGAUUAGCUAGUUGGUAGGGUAAAAGCCUACCAAGGCGACGAUCCAUAGCUGGUCUGAGAGGAUGAUCAGCCACACUGGGACUGAGACACGGCCCAGACUCCUACGGGAGGCAGCAGUGGGGAAUAUUGGAAAAUGGGCGAGAGCCUGAUCCAGCAAUGCCGCGUGAGUGAUGAAGGCCUUAGGGUUGUAAAGCUCUUUUACCCGGGAUGAUAAUGACAGUACCGGGAGAAUAAGCUCCGGCUAACUCCGUG
rnacentral:rRNA from 1 species